GACGAACGCUGGCGGCGUGCCUAAUACAUGCAAGUUGAGCGAUGAAGAUUGGUGCUUGCACCAAUUUGAAGAGCAGCGAACGGGUGAGUAACGCGUGGGGAAUCUGCCUUUGAGCGGGGGACAACAUUUGGAAACGAAUGCUAAUACCGCAUAACAACUUUAAACAUAAGUUUUAAGUUUGAAAGAUGCAAUUGCAUCACUCAAAGAUGAUCCCGCGUUGUAUUAGCUAGUUGGUGAGGUAAAGGCUCACCAAGGCGAUGAUACAUAGCCGACCUGAGAGGGUGAUCGGCCACAUUGGGACUGAGACACGGCCCAAACUCCUACGGGAGGCAGCAGUAGGGAAUCUUCGGCAAUGGACGAAAGUCUGACCGAGCAACGCCGCGUGAGUGAAGAAGGUUUUCGGAUCGUAAAACUCUGUUGGUAGAGAAGAAUGUUGGUGAGAGUGGAAAGCUCAUCAAGUGACGGUAACUACCCAGAAAGGGGCGGCUAACUACGUG
rnacentral:rRNA from 1 species